GACGAACGCUGGCGGCGUGCUUAACACAUGCAAGUCGAACGAAGUGGCGAACGGGUGAGUAACGCGUAAUCACCCUGCCCUUCAGAGGGGGACAACAGUUGGAAACGACUGCUAAUACCGCAUACGGAAGGAGGGGAAUGUGUUUGAUUGGCUAGUUGGAGGGGUAACGGCCAACGAAGGCGAUGAUCAGUAGCCGGUCUGAGAGGAUGGACGGCCACAUUGUGACUUAGACACGGCCCAGACUACUACGGGAGGCAGCAGUAGGGAAUCUUCCGCAAUGGACGAAAGUCUGACGAAGCAACGCCGCGUGAGUGAUGACGGCCUUCGGGUUGUAAAGCUCUGUUAAUCGGGACGCGGUACCGGAAUAGAAAGCCACGGCUAACUACGUGCCAGCAGCCGCGGUAAUUC
rnacentral:rRNA from 1 species